UACGGGGGGGGCGAGCGUUGUUCGGAAUUACUGGGCGUAAAGCGCACGUAGGCGGCUUUGUAAGUUAGAGGUGAAAGCCCGGGGCUCAACUCCGGAAUUGCCUUUAAGACUGCAUCGCUAGAAUUGUGGAGAGGUAAGUGGAAUUCCGAGUGUAGAGGUGAAAUUCGUAGAUAUUCGGAAGAACACCAGUGGCGAAGGCGACUUACUGGACACAUAUUGACGCUGAGGUGCGAAAGCGUGGGGAGCAAACAGG
rnacentral:rRNA from 1 species